rnacentral:rRNA from 1 species
AUUGAACGCUGGCGGCAGGCUUAACACAUGCAAGUCGAGCGGAGCGAGGGUGCUAGCACCUUAGCUUAGCGGCGGACGGGUGAGUAAUGCUUAGGAAUCUGCCUAUUAGUGGGGGACAACAUUCCGAAAGGGAUGCUAAUACCGCAUACGCCCUACGGGGGAAAGCAGGGGAUCUUCGGACCUUGCGCUAAUAGAUGAGCCUAAGUCGGAUUAGCUAGUUGGUGGGGUAAAGGCCUACCAAGGCGACGAUCUGUAGCGGGUCUGAGAGGAUGAUCCGCCACACUGGGACUGAGACACGGCCCAGACUCCUACGGGAGGCAGCAGUGGGGAAUAUUGGACAAUGGGCGGAAGCCUGAUCCAGCCAUGCCGCGUGUGUGAAGAAGGCCUUUUGGUUGUAAAGCACUUUAAGCGAGGAGGAGGCUACUAGUAUUAAUACUACUGGAUAGUGGACGUUACUCGCAGAAUAAGCACCGACUAACUCUGUGCCAGCCGCCGCCGUAA